rnacentral:tRNA from 1 species
ACAGUGGUGGUUCAGAGGUAGAAUUCUCACCCUCCAUGCGGGAGAUCCGGGUUUGAUUCCUGGCCAGUGCA